GACGAACGCUGGCGGCGUGCUUAACACAUGCAAGUCGAACGGAAAGGCCCUGCUUUUUUGGGGUGCUCGAUUGGCGAACGGGUGAGUAACACGUGAGUAACCUGCCCUUGACUUUGGGAUAACUUCAGGAAACUGGGGCUAAUACCUGAUAGGAGCUCCUGCUGCAUGGUGGGGGUUGGAAAGUUUCGGCGGUUGGGGAUGGACUCGCGGCUUAUCAGCUUGUUGGUGGGGUAGUGGCUUACCAAGGCUUUGACGGGUAGCCGGCCUGAGAGGGUGACCGGCCAAAUGGGGACUGAGAUACGGACCAGAAUCCAACGGGAGGCAGCAGUGGGGAAUAUUGCAGAAUGGGAGGAAGCCUGAUGAAGAAACGCCGCGUGCGGGAUGACGGCCUUCGGGUUGUAAACAGCUUUCGACUGUGACGAAGAGUGAGUGACGGUAAUGGGUAAAGAAGCACCGGCUAACUACGUG
rnacentral:rRNA from 1 species